rnacentral:rRNA from 1 species
GACGAACGCUGGCGGCGUGGAUUAGGCAUGCAAGUCGAACGGUAUCAUCCUUUCGGGGGUGAGAGAGUGGCGAACUGGUGAGUAACACGUAGGUUAUCUACCCUCAAGACGGGGACAACCCAGGGAAACUUGGGCUAAUACCGGAUGUGAGCAACUUUUAGUUGUUUGAAAGGUGGCGUAAGCUGUCGCUUGGGGAUGAGCCUGCGUCCUAUUAGUUAGUUGGUGAGGUAACGGCUCACCUAGGCAAUGAUAGGUAGGCGGCCUUAACGGGUGGUCGCCCACACUGGGAUUGAGAUACGGCCCAGACUCCUACGGGAGGCAGCAGUCGAGAAUAGUCUACAAUGGUCGGAAGACUGAUAGUGCGACGCCGCGUGAACGAUGAAUCCCUUCGGGGUGUAAAGUUCUUUUAUAUGUGAGCAGUGCUUCUUAUAUUAACAGUAUGGGGAAGAGAUAUUAGCAUAUGAAUAAGCAACGGCUAACUCCGUGCCAGCCAGCCGCGGUAAAAA